rnacentral:rRNA from 1 species
AGAGCACAAGGGGAAUGCCUUGGCACCGAGAGCCGAAGAAGGACGUGACUAACUGCGAUAAGCUGCGGGGAGCCGUAAGUAGGCUUUGAUCCGCAGAUUUCCGAAUGGAGCAAUCCACAUGAAGUAGUUCAUGUAUCCAUACGUGAAUUCAUAGCGUAUGGAGGGGAACCGCCUGAACUGAAACAUCUAAGUAGGGCGAGGAAGAGAAAUCAACCGAGAUUCCGUAAGUAGUGGCGAGCGAACGCGGAAGAGGCCAAACCGAGAGAAGAAAUUCUUUCGGGGUUCGGACUGCAUUUAGUAUUCUUGAUCUUUAGUCGAACAGUCUGGGAAGGCUGACGAGAGAGUGUGAUAGUCACGUAGACGAAAAGGAGAAAGAGCGAGCAGUAUCCAGAGUACCGCGGGGCACGUGAAAUCCCGUGGGAAGAUGGGGGGACCACCCUCCAAGCCUAAAUACUACCCAAUGACCGAUAGCGUAAAGUACUGUGAAGGAACGGUGAAAAGAACCCCGGGAGGGGAGUGAAAAGAACCUGAAACUCUGUGCUUACAAGCACAUAGAGCACGUCAAUGUGUGAUAUGGUACCUUUUGUAGAAUGGUCCGGCGAGUUAUGGUAUGCAGCGUGGUUAAGGACUUCAGGUCUGAAGCCGAAGCGAGAGCGAGUCUGACAAGGGCGAAAAGUUGUAUGCCAUAGACCCGAAACCGGGUGACCUAGCCAUGUCCAGGCUGAAGUGGAGGUAAAACUCCAUGGAGGGCCGAACCGACCUCCGUUGAAAAGGCGGCGGAUGAGAUGUGGCUAGCGGAGAAAUUCCAAUCGAACCCGGAUAUAGCUGGUUCUCCCCGAAAUAGCUUUAGGGCUAGCGUUGUAUUAGAUUACCGGAGGUAAAGCACUGAAUGGGCUAGGGGCUGAGAAGUUACUGAACCCUAUCAAACUAAGAAUGCCGGAUAAUUGAUGUACAGCAGUCAGACUAUGUGAGAUAAGUCUCAUAGUCAAAAGGGAAACAGCCCAGACCCACAGCUAAGGUCCCAAAAUGGAUUUAAGUGGAAAAGGAUGUGGAAUUGCACAGACAACCAGGAUGUUGGCUUAGAAGCAGCCACUCAUUAAAAGAGUGCGUAAUAGCUCACUGGUCGAGUGACUCUGCGCGGAAAAUAUAACGGGGCUAAGCAUGAAACCGAAGCUUGGGCUUGUACUUAGGUACAGGGGUAGGGGAGCGUCGAGUAUGGGGUGAAGUCAGAGCGGAAGCACUGGUGGACUGUACUGGAGUGAGAAUGCCGGAAUGAGUAGCGAGAAUUAUGUGGGAAUCAUAAUGGCCGAAAAUCUAAGGUUUCUUGGGGAAGGUUCGUCCGCCCAAGGUAAGUCGGGAGCUAAGCUCAGGCCGAGAGGCGUAGGCGAUGCACAUACGGUAGAAAUUCCGUAACCACCGAAACUUAAACAGAGGGACACUUCGAAAUAGCGGAACCCGGGCGUUGGUUGACCCGGGCGAAAGGGAGCGAAAUUAGAGUAGCGAAGUCCGCGAUGUUCGGAGGCGAGAAAAGCUCUGAGGUAUGCUAAGGUGCCCGUACCGCAAACCGACACAGGUAGAUGAGGAGAGAAUCCUAAGGCCAACGGGAGAAGGGUUGUUAAGGAACUCGGCAAAUUGACCCCGUAACUUCGGAAGAAGGGGAGCCCCCUACGGGGGGUCGCAGAGAAAUGGCCCAAGCAACUGUUUACCAAAAACACAGGUCUAUGCUAAAUCGAAAGAUGACGUAUAUGGGCUGACGCCUGCCCGGUGCCGGAAGGUUAAGAGGAGAUGUCAGGCAACGAAGCAUUGAAUUUAAGCCCCGGUAAACGGCGGCCGUAACUAUAACGGUCCUAAGGUAGCGAAAUUCCUUGUCAGGUAAGUUCUGACCCGCACGAAUGGCGUAAUGAUUUGGGCACUGUCUCAACAGCCCGCCCGGCGAAAUUGUAGUACUGGUGAAGAUGCCAGUUACCCGCAACUAGACGGAAAGACCCCAUGGAGCUUUACUGCAGCUUAAUACUGAAAUUCGGUAGUACAUGUACAGGAUAGGUGGGAGACUGAGAAAUACAGGCGUCAGCUUGUAUGGAGUCGCUGUUGGGAUACCACUCUUGUACUGCUGGGUUUCUAACCUGCGGCCGUGAAUCCGGUCGGGGGACACUGUUAGGCGGGCAGUUUGACUGGGGCGGUCGCCUCCCAAAAGGUAACGGAGGCGCUCAAAGGUUCGUUCAGCACGGACGGAAAUCGUGCAAUGAGUGUAAACGCAUAAACGAGCCUAACUGCGACACCGACGGGUGGAGCAGUAACGAAAGUUGGAGUUAGUGAUCCGGUGGUAUGUGAGUGGAAAUGCCAUCGCUCAACGGAUAAAAGCUACCCUGGGGAUAACAGGCUGAUCUCCCCCAAGCGUCCACAGCGACGGGGAGGUUUGGCACCUCGAUGUCGGCUCGUCGCAUCCUGGGGCUGAAUUCGGUCCCAAGGGUUUGGCUGUUCGCCAAUUAAAGCGGCACGCGAGCUGGGUUCAGAACGUCGUGAGACAGUUCGGUCCCUAUCUGUUGCGGGCGUAAGAGAUUUGAAGGGAGCUGUCCUUAGUACGAGAGGACCGGGAUGGACGUACCUCUGGUGCACCAGUUGUCCUGCCAAGGGCAUAGCUGGGUAGCUAUGUACGGACGAGAUAAACGCUGAAAGCAUCUAAGCGUGAAACUCCCCCUAAGAUGAGAUCUCUCAUCCUUCA